rnacentral:rRNA from 1 species
GACGAACGCUGGCGGCGUGCCUAAUACAUGCAAGUAGAACGCUGAAGGAGGAGCUUACUUCUCUGGAUGAGUUGCGAACGGGUGAGUAACGCGUAGGUAACCUGCCUGGUAGCGGGGGAUAACUAUUGGAAACGAUAGCUAAUACCGCAUAAGAGUAGAUGUUGCAUGACAUUUACUUAAAAGGUGCAAUUGCACCACUACCAGAUGGACCUGCGUUGUAUUAGCUAGUUGGUGGGGUAACGGCUUACCAAGGCGACGAUACAUAGCCGACCUGGGAGGGUGAUCGGCCAAACUGGGACUGAGACACGGCCCAGACUCCUACGGGAGGCAGCAGUAGGGAAUCUUCGGCAAUGGACGGAAGUCUGACCGAGCAACGCCGCGUGAGUGAAGAAGGUUUUCGGAUCGUAAAGCUCUGUUGUAAGAGAAGAACGAGUGUGAGAGUGGAAAGUUCACACUGUGGCGGUAUCUUACCAGAAAGGGACGGCUAACUACGUGCCAGCAGCCGCGGUAA